CAGCCGCCGCGGGAAUACGUAAGUGGCGAGCGUUGUCCGGAAUUAUUGGGCGUAAAGGGAGCGCAGGCGGACAUAUAAGUCCAUCUUAAAAGUGCGGGGCUCAACCCCGUGAGGGGAUGGAAACUGUAUGCCUUGAGUGUAGGAGAGGAAAGCGGAAUUCCCAGUGUAGCGGUGAAAUGCGUAGAUAUUGGGAGGAACACCAGUGGCGAAGGCGGCUUUCUGGACUGCAACUGACGAUGAGGCUCGAAAGCCAGGGGAGCGAACGGGAUUAGAUACCCCCGUAGUCCCUGUCUCUUAUACA
rnacentral:rRNA from 1 species